AUGGGCGAAAGCCUGACGGAGCAAUACCGCGUGAGGGAUGAAGGAUUUUGGUCUGUAAACCUCUUUUCUCAAGAAAGAAGUUCUGACGGUACUUGAGGAAUAAGCAUCGGCUAACUCCGUGCCAGCAGCCGCGGUAAUACGGGGGAUGCAAGCGUUAUCCGGAUUUAUUGGGCGUAAAGCGCCUGUAGGUUGUUUAAUAAGUCUGUUGUUAAAGACUAGGGCUUAACCCUAGGAAAGCAAUGGAAACUACUAGACUUGAGUAUGAUAGGGGUAGAGGGAAUUUCUAGUGUAGCGGUGAAAUGCGUAGAUAUUAGAAAGAACACCGGUGGCGAAGGCGCUCUACUGGAUCAUUACUGACACUCAGAGGCGAAAGCUAGGGUAGCAAAAGGGAUUAGAUACCCCUGUAGUCCUAGCCGUAAACGAUGGAUACUACAUGUUGCGUUUUUAAUGCAGUAUGGUAGCUAACGCGUUAAGUAUCCCGCCUGGGGAGUACGGUCGCA
rnacentral:rRNA from 1 species